ACAUACAGAAAGAAAGAAAGAUAGUUUGAUAGAUAAACAGACAGACACACGAACAGACAGACAAACACAUGGAACGACGGACAGACUUACAGCUGAAGAAACCGACUGAAGCACUGACGGAAAGACAAAGAGUCAGAAAGACUAACCGCGUCCUAAAAAAUAGCACUAGCGUAACUUAACACGCACGUCUAGUUGUGAGGAUUACCUUGAAAUAUAGUUCUUAGUGUGGACACCUGUUGAACAUUAGAUCACACUGAAGGAGGUCGGUCGUGAUUACAGUAAGGAAAACAGUUGACAAGAUGAAAUUAUCUACAAGCUUUUUUCUGAGUUUGGUAGUCGCUUUUACCAUCGGGUCUGAAGCUUUAUAUGUAUCCAACACUGAUUCCUACCCGACCCUCAAUACAAUGAUGUCAAAUUUUUUUUUAUCCUCGGCGGCCAUCGACCCUGGGGCAUUCAGGGCACCUGCAAACCAGCCCUAGCAUCUUGUGGUGGUAAAUACGGAACAUGCUGCAAACCAAAUCUAAGAUGCAUAGCAAACUAUUGUCAGCGUUGAAUUUUAGAAUGAAUUGAAGCUUUGCCGUUCCGAUAAAACAGUAAUUAAGCGGCUUC